rnacentral:rRNA from 1 species
UACGUAGGGUGCAAGCGUUGUCCGGAUUCAUUGGGCGUAAAGAGCGUGUAGGCGGCCAGGUAGGUCGGUUGUGAAAACUGGAGGCUCAACCUUCAGACGUCGACCGAAACCAUCUGGCUAGAGUCCGGGAGAGGAGAGUGGAAUUCCUGGUGUAGCGGUGAAAUGCGCAGAUAUCAGGAAGAACACCCGUGGCGAAAGCGGCUCUCUGGAACGGUACUGACGCUGAGACGCGAAAGCGUGGGGAGCGAACAGG